ACGAUUGGUUGGCUGCUCAGUGUGGUUGUCUGCCGACUGAAGAAUGGAGAAAGUAGAUGUAUGUUGAAACUUCCAUGAGAAAGAGGUCUCAGCCUGAGACAUACAGAGACCAGUGGGAAGAUGAACACUUGGUCAGACAGGCACAAGCUGAUUUUUCACAGUACUUUUCAAAAGUUCCCAGUAGCUAGAUAUCAAAAUUCCUUCUAAUUGGUUGAUUUGUUGAUGGGGUUUGUUUAUUGUUUAAUCCUUGAUUUUCUCAAAAUCAUAUAGACUGGUGAACAGUGGCAACGCAGUGUCACGAGUCUGUAAUUCUCAUGAACGUAACGCUUGAAACCCAAUAAGCUGAAUAAGAGGACUAGAUGUUACAUUUUUGUCCAGCUAAUGAGAAUAAUACCUUGAACUUUAUUUAUAUUUUCAUCUUAAACUCAUUAGCUAAAUGGGAUAUAUUGUAAAGAACAGUAUCAGUUAAAAGACUACAAAAAGAUUAGCAUCAGUUAAAGGAAGAAAAAGCCAUCUACCACAGCUUGUUCUUGCACCACAGAACAAGAUAUUGUCCACAGAAUGCUGCUUUUUGUAGCUAGGCUUAAACCGGUACUGUACAAAAAGGUGUGCACCAGCCAUAAGUAAUCGUCAACUACAUGAUCACUGACCCAUAAGUAAUCUACCAAAAUCACAAUGCCGAACAAAAUAAGAAUGACUUAGCACAAAGCCCCAUUAUACAACUAUUAGAACUCAAAGCAUCAUACACCAUUUUUUAUUUUCGCCACACAACAGAAACCUCAAACUAUAAAACAGGAAAAAAAAUCAAAUUUAAUUCAUAAAUCAGCUCUUUAAAAAAUCCAAAUAGCAAUUUUUAACUGACACCCAACUAGAUUUUCAACAAAGAUUAUCGAGGCAUUUCAUCAAACAUGUCGAAGGCUAUUACUAAUUCUACACAAACAACUCCAUUUCCUCUUUCCCUGUCCUCUCUUAGCUUAUAAACCUCUGAAGCGCUAUAAUUUAUAAACCAUCACAUGCCUAUAAUAGCACAAACUUGGUCAAAAUUUUGAGCCAAAAAUAACUAUAAAACAACGUUCCGCGUACAAUUUCAACAAAUAGGGGGAAAAACACACACACACACAAAGAUGCACUGCAUAUCUGUGCAACUACAGGAAUGCAAAAACCACGAAUUUGAAGUAGUAAGUGGGCUUUUGGCUUACCUGGACACCUUCGGAAGCGGUAGAGACGGGGGAAGAGGUGAAAUCGGAGUCAAGGGUAAGAAAAAGGAAAAUGGCGAGACCGAAAAACGAGAUUGCCAUUAGUAAAAGUAAGCCAAUGAACCAGGAAGUUUGCCUAAAGGGCAAAUUGAGAUUGGACUUGGAAGACAAUUCUCGAUAAACUAUUUGAGUCGGGGGAGAAAUUUGUUGAGCUGAAUUUGAAGAAGAAGAUGAUGAUGACCUGGAAGUGGAUUUCCUUCGAGAGAGAUUUUGUUGCUGAUGCUGCUGUUAGCUGCCUGAGGGAGCCACGGUUGAAGCUUUAUGGAAACUGCUGCUUGGCUGCUACCCAUUUUUUCCACCAACUACAUCGGAAUCUGACAACAGAGAGAUAGAGAGACAGAGAGAGGGGGGCUGGAAAUGGUGGAGCUGGAAAAUGAAAAUUUUGAGCAAGUGUUUUGAGUAAGUGUUUUGGCCGGCAGAAUGAAAAUUUUGAGUGUUUUAGAGUGAAUGAAUGUUCCGCCAAAAUCAAACGAUGCCGUUUAGUGUCUUUCUUUUUUUUUGGUAUAUCUCACAUUUUCUCAAGUGUCAUGUUAGAUAGUCUAAAGGCACAUUAUUAUUUUUAUAUCUAACAAAAAAAAA
rnacentral:lncRNA from 1 species